UAACACGGGAAUAAACCUCUCUACGUGUAGGGAGUUGAAUGUACUGUAAGAAUAAGGAUCGGCUAACUCCGUGCCAGCAGCCGCGGUAAUACGGAGGAUCCAAGCGUUAUCCGGAUUUAUUGGGUUUAAAGGGUGCGUAGGCGGCCUAUUAAGUCAGGGGUGAAAGACGGUAGCUUAACUAUCGCAGUGCCUUUGAUACUGAUGGGCUUGAAUAUACUUGAGGUAGGCGGAAUGUGACAAGUAGCGGUGAAAUGCAUAGAUAUGUCACAGAACACCAAUUGCGAAGGCAGCUUACUAAAGUAUGAUUGACGCUGAGGCACGAAAGCGUGGGGAUCAAACAGGAUUAGAUACCCUGGUAGUCCACGCCCUAAACGAUGAACACUCGAUGUUGGCGAUAUACGGUCAGCGUCUAAGCGAAAGCGUUAAGUGUUCCACCUGGGGAGUACGCCCGCAAGGGUGAAACUCAAAGGAAUUGACG
rnacentral:rRNA from 1 species